UACGUUUUUUUCAUAAAUUGUACAAAGCAUGAAUAAUAAAUAUGUAUGGUUGUGAGCAACCUAUGAAGCAAAUGAGCCCCCUCCAGUAGGAGAAACGGUUUUAUAAAAAAAACUAAUCAUAAUAGGUAGGUUAGGUUCGUUAGGUUUCUUUAGAUGCCCGAAGGGCAAACUACGCAGAAAUAGGAGCCCCGCGUGAGCGGGGCUCCGUCGAAUUAAGUAUUUGGAGGGAGAUUAGGGAAAAGGUAUUUUUCGAGGAGUUGUUGAGAGGCUAAAAUUAGUUUCUUAAAUUAUUUAUGUAAACCAUUAUGGUUGAAAAUUAUUAUGCUACAAAACGUUAUACGUAAAAACAUUAUAAGUAUCGAUAAAUAUACUGUUAGGUGGUAUGACAUUUGAUUCAUUAUAAUCAAAACCUAUAUGCACAAAAAAUAUAUGACAACUGCUGAGUAUGUCAUCAAAUAUUAUGGCUAAAAAUGUAUGACACAAUAUAAUAUGACUUUUCAUUUGUAUGCGCAAUGAUGAUUAUGACACAAGUUGUUAUGUGCAUCAAAGAUAUGACCUAAACUUGUAUGCAACCCAAUAUGGACCC